rnacentral:lncRNA from 1 species
AUGCCGUGGUUGUGCAGACAGAGCAAAGGAUUGAUUGCUUGAAGCAGGUCAGAUUGUUCCCCCCUGGAAAACAAAACAGGAGGUCAUCUUGUUAGUAGUAGUUGAUCAAUCUUCCUUGAUGCGGUCAUUUAUGACGCAAGAGGAUCUUUCUCGAUUUGCUUAGCAGAGACAAAGAAUUGGCUUAAAACACACACACACACACACACACACUUAAAAGAAACAGCCCAAACAUCACAACAGUAGUAGUAGUCUAACACAGAUGAUACAAUGAUAUCAUACUUUUAUAAUUUCCUUGAGACCAUGCAGUGUGGAAAUUUUGUUUAACCAAACAAUUUGCAGACACUUUUCUACUGUAUUCUGUAUGCCUUCUUCUUUUAUGUCAAGAAAUGUUGUCUUUGAGGAAAAUUUAUGAAAUACACAUCUAAUGGUCAUCAUGGCUACAGAGACUUCUCACCUGUCAGCACUAUGCUACAAGUCUCGAAUUGGCUAGCAUGCAACUAAGCAUCAAGUUCCCUCGACAACACCAGCAUUAUGUUUCACCAGGUACCAUCUUUUAUCCUUGUUAGAUGGAUCCCAAAUUCUAACACUUAAACACAGGAUUUUCAAUAUUUUUACUAUAUACCAGAAAAAAAAAACAUCAUUUUAUAGUAUCAUAAUGGAUAUAAAAAGAAAAGUUCAUUUACUUAAACUUACCGAAAAAAAUGUUUUCUAUUAAAUAAUUAAACAACCUACUUUUGUUCAUUGAUUCGACACACACUCUUUAUCUAUUGAUACUUCCUUUGGAACAGCGGCCCAGUGUAUUGGGAAGUCAAGUGAUGAUCUCUCCAGGUUGUGUUUGUUUCCCUCCUCUUAGUUUAUAUUUCAUUAUACCUUUAUUUAUUUUCUUAAAAGAAAUUCGAGCACAGGGCCCAAGGUUCAUCUCAUUAGUAUCGAACCUGGUGUGCUCUAAACAAUAUUUUAUCAUGCAUGGCAUCUAAUUCAAUAUAGACAUACAGGACGGAGGGGACAAAUUCUCAACCAUCUGAAGUUCCUAUCACCAAAGACCAUUCAUCAGUGAUGGAACAUUUCUUGGGUUCCCAAGCUGGUACUCAUUUCAUGCCGGCAAGCAAUGGAACGAUUUCGGGUAAGUAAGCUAUCUAGUGAAAUAUCAGGUCUGCUAGUUUCCCCAUUUUAAUCUCUUGGAAAUGACUCGUUCACUUGUUUGGAAAAUCUCGGUGACCUGAAAGCAUGUUUUAGCUCCUGCACAAAAUUUCUGAUACUAGUUCCAGAAUUAAUUGAUUAAUUUGCCACUCUAGUAUAGAGUCAGACUACUAAGUUACCUACUUUUCCUAAUAGCAUUUGUUAUAUCAUAAAAGUUAAUUCCCUCCAAAGGUGCGACCUUAACACACUUGAUUAUUUCUGACAGGAGUAGAGCUUGCUAAAGCAGUUCCAGUUCUAGAAGGACCAUCCAUACUCUCAAAACCAAGUAAUUCUUCAUUUAGUUGCAAGUCAGAGGUAAUUCUAUAAGCACCUUUAUCAGUUCAAUGGCUUCUCCUCAGAACGAGAACUAAUAUUUUCUAAUUCAUAAACUACAACUGGAAGUAGUUUAUUAGAUCAAGAUUUAGUACAUGCUUAAUACUUAGAUGCAGAAAACAUCAAGCCUAAAUGGUGUUCAUGUAGUCAGAGAAAUCCAUGUCCAGUCAUCUCUAACAAAUGCACACAUUUUGCAGGAACUGUAUCUUCAUGCAGAACUGACUUAUGCUUGAUUAGUUUGUGUUGUUGUUAUGUUUGUUUACCACAAGAAGGAUAUACAGUUUUCUCAAAGUUAUAUUCAUAAUGAUUGUCGAAUUCCAUGCAGGAUCUAUAUAUGCUGGAAGGUGUCAAUCAAAAAAAGAAGCCCCUGCAAAUAGACAACUUUUUGUCAUUCUUGCGAUUUAAUAAAAGAAAGAUAUAAAAAGUGCAUUAUGGAUAUCGCUACUCGAUCCCUUAUUUAAACAUCAAUUUUACUUGUGGUCCUAUAAUUUUGCAUUUAAUUAGAAGCCAUCAGCUGCCUAUGUUCUUCUAAGUGUGACACAGGUUGUGAAUGUUUAGCAUCUUGAAUGGGUUGUGGCAUUGGUUUUGUCAAGUGUCAGAUGGGUUGUGGCUAAAAAAUCCUCAAGAAAAUCAGGUCUUCUAACCAUAUUUCUUGUUUGUAGAAUCCUUUAAUAUGACCUUUCCGCAUCACCAAAACAAAGUUGGUCCAAAAUAUUGUACAUUGGAGCCAUCCAUCCAUUAUAGGUAAAUCAUAGUUCAGCAUUAUUUGCAAUCUCUAGGAGGAGAAAACUACUUGAGUAAAUGAUGAACCUAAGUUGUAGAAGUCCUUUGUUUUUAACUUCAUUAACAGGCUAUAUCGACUGGGCAAUGUUGGCAAUGACAAAAGAAAGAUCAUUUGGGAAUUCAGUGAUCCAAAAGAAACAUGGAAUUGCCAAAAUAUAGCAAUCCCCAUGAUAUAACUUGGUAACUUAUUUCAGUUUAUUGCAUUCUGAGAAUAACCUGCUCAAGUUGUUUAAUGUUGUGCAAUAAUCCAAUGAACAAAUUUAUACAUAUUCUUAAGAUGUCAGGCUGAAGACAACAUGAAGGUAUGAUUGAUGAUUCAAACUAUGUUUACUGAGCUAUAGUCAACUAUUCAAGAUCUAUGUCCAACAAACUGAUGUAUCUAUCAUACUCUUUCUCUGCAACAAAGGAUUAUUAAGUCAGGAAUAGUCAAAUGUUAACUAUCAAUCUUUACUUAAAUGACAAUCUCCAAAGAUUUUACCUGGCAAUGGAGCCAUUUUCUUGCGAAACGAGGAAGGGUCAUGGACGUGCUCUCUUACGCCGUCAAAGGCCAGCUUUAGCUUUGAUCGCCGUCCGCCAACAACACGACGUCCCAGAGUUUGCCGGCACCGUCCAAAGCCGGCCACACGAUCCGCAACCAUGUCGUAGGCGAAGACGUCGAGGUCCUCAUCUUCUCCGGCUCCACCAUCGCCGAGACUGGGGAUUUCUCGAUUCCUGGG